rnacentral:rRNA from 1 species
ACUUGGUCAUACCAUCCUGAAUGCACCCAAUCUCACCUGAUUUUGGAAGCUAAUCAGAGUUGGGCCUGGUUAGCAUUUGGAUAGAAACUGCCUGGGAAUACCAAAUGCUGAAGGUU